UAUGCACUAUUCUCUUCAGUACGAAAGGACCAAAAGAAUGGGACCCACACUCACAGCAAGUCCCCCCCCCCCCCGGAAAUAUUUCAAACCCCCAGUACCCUUCACCCCAAAAACAGGGC
rnacentral:rRNA from 1 species